GAGGGUAUAGCUCAAGUAGUAGAAUGCAUGCUCAGCACGCAUGAGGUCCUGGGUUCAAUCCCCAGUACUUCCU
rfam:Camelus ferus unplaced genomic scaffold scaffold429, whole genome shotgun sequence.